UACGUCGAUCCUAGAAACCAACAAAAUAGGAGAUCAAACGUCCUAUUUUAUUAUUCCAUGCUAAUGUAUUCAAGCGCGAGCUUGCUUUAAACACUCUAAUUUUUUCAAAGUAACAGUCCUGAUUCCCCGCCACACCAACUAAAUGGUAUAACGGUUCAUCAGAAGGGAGGAAUCAGUGACACCAGUACAUACCGAAGGUACGACCGG
rnacentral:misc_RNA from 1 species